rnacentral:rRNA from 1 species
ACGGCGAGUGAAGCGGCAACAGCUCAAAUUUGAAAUCUGGCCCCCGGGCCCGAGUUGUAAUUUGCAGAGGAUGCUUUUGGCGAGGCGCCUUCCGAGUUCCCUGGAACGGGACGCCAUAGAGGGUGAGAGCCCCGUCUGGUUGGAUGCCGAGCCUCUGUAAAGCUCCUUCGACGAGUCGAGUAGUUUGGGAAUGCUGCUCUAAAUGGGAGGUAUAUGUCUUCUAAAGCUAAAUAUUGGCCAGAGACCGAUAGCGCACAAGUAGAGUGAUCGAAAGAUGAAAAGCACUUUGAAAAGAGGGUUAAACAGUACGUGAAAUUGUUGAAAGGGAAGCGCUUGUGACCAGACUUGGGCCCGGCGGAUCACCCAGCGUUCUCGCUGGUGCACUCCGGCGGGCCCAGGCCAGCAUCAGCUCGUCCCGGGGGACAAAGGCUCUGGGAAUGUGGCUCCUCCGGGAGUGUUAUAGCCCUCUGCGCAAUGCCCUGGGGCGGGCUGAGGACCGCGCAU